GACAUGGCGCUGCCGGGGGGGCCCGACCGCCUCAGCGUCAUCACCUACCUGUGGCAGCUGCGGGGGGUCCUGGACGGGGGGGCGGGCGCCCCCCCUGGUGCCCCCCUGGUGCCCCCCGGCGCCCCCCAGCCCCCGGCAGCCCCCCCAGAGGUGUCGGCGACCGGCGUCGCUGCGAAGGAUGCUGGGAGUUCGGCCAACCCUGGGGCUGCAAAGGACGCUGGGAGUUUCACUGAUGGCAUCGUUGCAAAGGAUGCUGGGAAUUCAGCCAAGUCUGGGGCUGCAAAGCAUGCUGGGAAUUUGACUGAUGGCAUCGCUGCAAAGGAUGCUGGGAGUUCAGUCAACUCAGGGGCUGCAAAGCAUGCUGGGAGCUCGUCCAACAGCACAGCUGCAAAGGAUGCUGGGAGCUUGGCCAGCCUAGAUGUUGCAAAGGAUGCUGG
rnacentral:lncRNA from 1 species